GAUGAACGCUGGCGGCGUGCCUAAUACAUGCAAGUCGAGCGAACAGACGAGGAGCUUGCUCCUCUGACGUUAGCGGCGGACGGGUGAGUAACACGUGGAUAACCUACCUAUAAGACUGGGAUAACUUCGGGAAACCGGAGCUAAUACCGGAUAAUAUAUUGAACCGCAUGGUUCAAUAGUGAAAGACGGUUUUGCUGUCACUUAUAGAUGGAUCCGCGCCGCAUUAGCUAGUUGGUAAGGUAACGGCUUACCAAGGCAACGAUGCGUAGCCGACCGGAGAGGGUGAUCGGCCACACGGGAGCGGGGACACGGUCCAGACUCCUACGGGAGGCAGCAGUAGGGAAUCUUCCGCAAUGGGCGAAAGCCUGACGGAGCAACGCCGCGUGAGUGAUGAAGGUCUUCGGAUCGUAAAACUCUGUUAUUAGGGAAGAACAAAUGUGUAAGUAACUAUGCACGUCUUGACGGUACCUAAUCAGAAAGCCACGGCUAACUACGUG
rnacentral:rRNA from 1 species